GGGUUGUGAGGUUAAGCGACUAAGCGUACACGGUGGAUGCCCUGGCAGUCAGAGGCGAUGAAGGGCGUGCUAAUCUGCGAUAAGCGCCGGUAAGGUGAUAUGAACCGUUAUAACCGGCGAUACCCGAAUGGGGAAACCCAGUGUGAUUCGUCACACUAUCAUUAACUGAAUCUAUAGGUUAAUGAGGCGAACCGGGGGAACUGAAACAUCUAAGUACCCCGAGGAAAAGAAAUCAACCGAGAUUCCCCCAGUAGCGGCGAGCGAACGGGGAGGAGCCCAGAGCCUGAAUCAGCAUGUGUGUUAGUGGAAGCGUCUGGAAAGGCGCGCGAUACAGGGUGACAGCCCCGUACACAAAAGCGCAUGUGCUGUGAGCUCGAUGAGUAGGACGGGACACGUGGUAUCCUGUCUGAAUAUGGGGGGACCAUCCUCCAAGGCUAAAUACUCCUGACUGACCGAUAGUGAACCAGUACCGUGAGGGAAAGGCGAAAAGAACCCCGGCGAGGGGAGUGAAAAAGAACCUGAAACCGUGUACGUACAAGCAGUGGGAGCACAGGUUUACCUGUGUGACUGCGUACCUUUUGUAUAAUGGGUCAGCGACUUAUAUUCUGUAGCAAGGUUAACCGUAUAGGGGAGCCG
rnacentral:rRNA from 1 species